rnacentral:ncRNA from 2 species
UUUUUCUUGUCGGAGUGCCGAGUGCGCAAGCACCGGCUGAGACCGUUAAUUCGGGAUCCGCGGAACCUGAUCAGGUUAGAACCUGCGAAGGGAACAAGAGUCAAUCUACU